rnacentral:rRNA from 1 species
GCCGCUUUGGGCAGUUACCUACGUGUUACUCACCCGUCCGCCACUCGUUGGCGACCAAAAUCAAUCAGGUGCAAGCACCAUCAAUCAAUUGGGCCAACGCGUUCGACUUGCAUGUAUUAGGCACACCGCCGGCGUUCAUCCUGAGCCAUGAUCAAACUCUGA